GCGAGCGCAGGAAACGCUCGGAGUGUCAGAGGCGCGAGCCGGUGCGCGCGCGGCGCGGCUUCUCAUCCCCUCCGUUUCCUGGAGCGGCGCGCGCGCCUUCAUCUCCCCGGUUUAUUAUGAGCACGCGGACUUUCCGAGCCUCGGGACGACGGCGUGGCGUCUACAGCGAGCGGUCAGAGAGCCAGAGAAUGCGAGACGAUAGAAUAUGCUGUUCUUGAAGUUUUUCAUGACGAGAUCCGUUUGUGGCACCACUUAGGACAGUUAAAGCUGGAAUGAAGCCAGCUGCAGCGGGACACUGUAUCGGUGCGCCACCGCCUCGCUGGCACCGGCACACAAACCGGCAUUUGGGACUGACACAAGUGUGAGGCGUCAUUUUAUCUGCCAUGAAAGCGGACUAUCAGAUGUGGAGCUGAAGAGACCACAGAGAUACUCCACCACACAGAUAAGCAGUAAACACCUCUGCACCAUGGACCAGUAUUAUUAAAUAUAAGUGGAUGUUGUCACUUGGAUUCAAGCCAGAUCCUGCAGUGCUCCAAGACAGAAAUGCAGUUUCUUCGUUGUGUGUGUGUGUGUGUGUGUGUGUGUUUGUUUAAUGCUUAAUGGGACCUGACAUGGCAAGAAUGUACAUUUGACUAGCAGACAGGCCUUUUUGACGUAGCCAUAGAACAUAGCUGCUUUUUAAUGUGUUCCAUUAAGAUUUCAUUGAAUGCCUUUAGAAAAAAGACAUGUUUUUUUCUAUAAUAGUAGAAAUGAACUGAGACUGAAUAAUUAAGCAUACAUACGUUUUUCUUACGGCUACUAGCUACUAGCAGCUUACAGGGUCUAGUAGCUGGUUUGUGCUACAUCCUUCCAGCAAAGCUGUCUCCUUGGAGGUCAAGGUCGUAUCGCUUCACCCUCACGUCCAUGUUUGCCCCGGUGAACAUUCAACGCUGUCGGUGAGUUUGAGCUAAACUUACAAAACCAUCGACCGUUGAUUGUACCCCAUGGCCAAACUCUGACAACACUCGUCAACAGGGGCUAAAAUAUUGAGAGACUGUCCUGGGACGUGGACUUCAUCCUCUAAACAGCUCUUGAGUACUUGGGGCUCAGAAAAAAAAAAAAGCUCUCUCAAAGGUCACAAUCAACAUUCAUUGCUGUCGGUGGGUUGCACUGUGAAGGAAAGCUCACUGAACAAUGAAUGCAACUGUGUCCCAGUCUUUCUCAUCCCACAUUAACAAACAGAGAUGAUGAAAUCUUUUGCUAACUCACGCUUAGUAUUGCUUAUGUCUCCACAUAAUGAAGAAUUAGACUGUAUCUCAAAGAAUAUCAUCAGGUACAGAACACUGGGGAACAUGAGAAUAAAAGAUAUUUAUCACUG